rnacentral:sRNA from 1 species
CGAGAUGAGGCCCAAAGCCUUCCUUGCCAGAUUGCCUUCUCUGGGGGUGCUUGAAAUCCCACUUGGACUGUGAAGUUCUAGGAGCAGAGCCCAGGCAGCCAGGCCUCACUGGCCACGAUGCCGGAGGCACCUGAUGUGCUGGAGGAGACCGUGACGGUGGAGGAGGACCCCGGCACACCCACUUCCCAUGUGUCUAUUGUCACAUCCGAAGAUGGCACAACCCGGCGCACCGAGACCAAGGUCACCAAGACUGUUAAGACGGUGACCACUCGGACAGUACGCCAGGUGCCCGUGGGCCCAGAUGGACUCCCCCUGCUGGAUGGCGGCCCCCCACUAGGCCCUUUUGCAGAUGGUGCCCUGGACCGGCAUUUCCUGCUGCGUGGUGGUGGCCCAGCGGCCACACUCUCUCGAGCCUACCUCAGCAGCGGGGGUG